GUCGAGAAUAAUUCACAAUGGACGAAAGUCUGAUGGUGCAACGCCGCGUGGAGGAUGACGGUCUUCGGAUUGUAAACUCCUGUCAUCCGGGAGUAAGACCUGACUGUGAAUAGCAGACAGGGUUGAUAGUACCGGAAGAGGAAGGGACGGCUAACUUCGUGCCAGCAGCCGCGGUAAUACGAAGGUCCCGAGCGUUGUUCGGAAUCACUGGGCGUAAAGGGAGCGUAGGCGGCGUGGUAAGUCAGAUGUGAAAUCCCGGGGCUCAACCCCGGAACUGCAUCCGAUACUGCCGUGCUAGAGGAUUGGAGAGGUAGCUGGAAUUCUUGGUGUAGCAGUGAAAUGCGUGGAGAUCAAGAGGAACACUCGUGGCGAAAGCGAGCUACUGGACAAUAUCUGACGCUGAGGCUCGAAGGCCAGGGUAGCGAAAGGGAUUAGAAACCCGGGUAGUCC
rnacentral:rRNA from 1 species